rnacentral:rRNA from 1 species
GUUGAACGCUGGCGGCAUGCCUUACACAUGCAAGUCGAACGGUAACAGGUUAAGCUGACGAGUGGCGAACGGGUGAGUAAUGUAUCGGAACGUGCCCAGUCGUGGGGGAUAACUGCUCGAAAGAGCAGCUAAUACCGCAUACGACCUGAGGGUGAAAGCGGGGGAUCGCAAGACCUCGCGCGAUUGGAGCGGCCGAUAUCAGAUUAGGUAGUUGGUGGGGUAAAGGCCUACCAAGCCUACGAUCUGGAGAUGGUCUGAGAGGACGACCAGCCACACUGGGACGGAGAAACGGCCCAGACUCCAACGGGAGGCAGCAGUGGGGAAUUUUGGACAAUGGACGCAAGUCUGAUCCAGCCAUGCCGCGUGCGGGAAGAAGGCCUUCGGGUUGUAAACCGCUUUUGUCAGGGAAGAAAAGGUUCUGGUUAAUACCUGGGACUCAUGACGGUACCUGAAGAAUAAGCACCGGCUAACUACGUGCCAGCCGCCGCGGUAAUAC